rnacentral:lncRNA from 1 species
UAUACAUACAUACAUAUAAGCUGUAUGCGUAUUUAGAAAUUAUAUAGCUACAUAUCAUAUAUCAUAUGAGAUGGAAUCAAUCGCACUGGAGUGAGACAGCGUCCGUGCUUGUGUAUAUGGACGUCUACAUUCUGCAAUAAUGAGCAAUAUGCCAUCACUCCUGCUUUCACUCUGUGCUUCCUAGCUUCGGGAAGGUGAACACCACGCCCUUUCUCCACCCCGUUUCUGUCCUGGAGCCAGCUGAGCAUGGACUGAAAUCCCCAAAGAGCGAGCCCAAUUAAAGCUCUCCUCCCAUAAAUGGUGGGUGUUGGGUAUUUUGUCCAAGCAAGCGGAAAGCUGACUGAUACACCACCCACGAGUCAUUGAGCAGCUGGCUUGGUGAUCAGAUCAAUUGUGGAGGGAUCAGAGAUACCACAAUUCCUGCGUUAAAGUAACAUUUAUGGGGUGGCCUAGAAUUUCCUCACGGUGGCAGUGCUGUUCACCCCACCUCUUCUCGUCAGGCUUUCAAAUUUUGUAG